rnacentral:rRNA from 1 species
CAGCCGCCGCGGUAAUACGUAGGGUGCGAGCGUUAAUCGGAAUUACUGGGCGUAAAGCGUGCGCAGGCGGUUCUAUAAGACAGAUGUGAAAUCCCCGGGCUCAACCUGGGAACUGCAUUUGUGACUGUAGAGCUGGAGUGCGGCAGAGGGGGAUGGAAUUCCGCGUGUGGCAGUGAAAUGCGUAGAUAUGCGGAGGAACACCGAUGGCGAAGGCAAUCCCCUGGGCCUGCACUGACGCUCAUGCACGAAAGCGUGGGGAGCGAACAGGAUUAGAUACCCGGGUAGUCCCUGUCUCUUAUAC